GUGGAACCCUGGAGUUAUUGAGGAGAGGAGAAUGGCUGGUGGCCCAUUGCUGGAAUCGAGUAGCUCCCUCUACUGGCGAACUCGGGGAAUCGCCUGUGUUUUCGUGUAUCUGUGUGUCACUGUGUCACGAGGAGUGUCACAGGUGUGUCAGCGAGUAUUGGUGGAAGUUUGGGCAUGGGUAUAGUUGUGCGAAUGUGCCAGCAGUGUGAGUGUUCCAGCGUUACGCGGACCUGCUUCUAGGACCACAGGGUGUACACACACAACCACUUUUUGUAAUACAAUUUACUUUGGGGGUGGGGGUAGAGGGUGGGCAGCACUAGAACUGCUGAUUAUCUGAGAUUAUUACUAAUCGGGGUGACUAGGACGAAAGGAUCCUCCAGCUGCUACUCCUCCACUGACCUCGUGCAGGUGAGAGGAUUCAGGCCUGAGAACAGUUCCUGGGAAGGGAUUCUAUCCCCUAAAGCAACCAGGGACCCAAGAAAGGGUUAACUUUGAGCCCCACAGUGACUUCAAUCAUUGGCUCUGGGCACUGUCAGUCAGCGUUCUGGGGGCGGGGCUUACGGGGCCGCCCUAGGACUGCCCAGCGCCCCUCGCUUGCCCCUCGACCCCCCACUUCAUUUCACUUCUGGGCUGCCGCCACACCCCCAUCACGGUGGAGACACCUUCCGGGGCCCUGGAGGAGGAGCAGAUCUGGGCAUCCUGGCUUCCCCACUCAUUCCAGCUGCCUGGCUUCCUGAUAGAUGGUGAUUAUUAUAUAAUAGACCUGCUGGACAGAACGGUGCCAGCUCUCGGAACACUUUGCCCCCUCCUUGAAGCCCCAGGGCCUGACAUCAGCAGUACAGAGCCCGCUGCCUAGCUCUGCCGGCGCCCCCGGCACUACCUCCAUUCCGGGGCGGGAGACCCCUGGGCCACCCUCGCUGGGGGGCCUGGGGCACGUCCUGAGAGUUGGGUCCGGCGCCCAGCAGGUCUCAGGGUCGGCCUGCGAAGUAUGGCUUUACCAGCGCCUCUCCAGAAUUGUGGGACCCACUUGGCCCCUUCCAACCUGAACUUGGAACUUGGGAACCCAAAGAGUUCUGUAUUACAGAAGCCCUGGAACUGAGCAGGCCACAACAAGAUUUCCAACAACAGAUUAUCAUGAAGAGUAAAUGACACAUAUGAAGAGUCUGAUACAUAAUGGAUGCUCAUUAAAUCAAGAAGAAAAAGAAAGAGAGAAAAGGGUUGUGUUUCAGGUGAGUUGGGUUUUUGAGAGGCGACUGACUACCUUUCUAGGAGGCCCAGGUGAGAAUGGGGCUGUAGUGAGUGACUCUAAGAUUUGCUGGGCACUUAGUCACAGGUGGUUUAGAUGAAAAGGCAAAGGGGAGUUCUUACUGUGGCGCAGCAGAAAGGAAUCUGACUAGGACCCAUCAGAUUCGAUCCCUGGCCUCCCUCAGUGGGUUAAGGAUCUGGCGUUGCUGUGAGCUGUGGUGUAGGUUGCAGACACGGCUUGGAUCUGGCAUUGCUAUAGCUGCGGUGUAGGCCGGCAGCUGUAGCUCAGAUUAGACCACUAGCCUGGGAACCUCCAUAUGCCAUGGGUGCGGCCCUAAAAAGCUAAAAAAAAAAAAAAAAAAAAAGGGCAAAGGGAUAAAGCAGAUUCUCUUCUUCAAAGGAAGAGUUGAUAUCCCUGGACUCCAGCUAGAUAAGGAAGAUGCCAGAGAGAGAGGUGAGUCGCAGACAGCACCAAGAUUUUCACACUGGGUAGUGACAGGGUAGUACUCUAAAGAGGGGAGAUGGUUUGGGCGGAAGGGUUCAUGUUUAGAGUUGUUGAAUUAGGUGUGAUAGUAGGACAUCCCGGUGGUUAUGGCUAAUGACGAGGUAGACUUUUUUUUUUUAAGUUUUAUUGAAAUGUAGUUGAUUUACAAUGUUGUGAGGUAGAGAGACUUGAUUGAACUUUAUUUUGGCUUUGUUUGUUUAUAAUUUUUACUGGAAUAUAGGUGGCUUACAAUGUUGUAUUAGUUUCAGGUGUAAGCAAAAUGAAUUAGCCAUACAUAUACAUAUAUAUCCAUUAUUUUUCAGAUUCUUUCCCCAUAUAGGCUAACACAGAGAGUAUUGAAUAGAUUUCCCACAUAUAUAUAUAUAUAUAUAUAUAUGUAUGUUUGGGGUGUUUUUUUGGCCUCACCUGCAGCAUGGGGAAGUUCCCAGGCCAGUAAUCAAAGCCAUGCCACAGCAGUGACCCAAGCCACCACAGUGACCACAUGGGAUCCUUAACCUACAGUGUCACAAGGGAACUCCAGCCAGGGAAUUCCUUGAUUGAACUUUGCAGAGAGAGAGAUCAAAGCCAAAAUUAGGUAUUUGGGAUGCACCCCUUGCCAGUGGGAAUUGUCGGCAGGGGGUAAGGUGUCUGAAGGUGAGCUGCGAAGCAAACCAAGGACAGUGCCAUGCGGGACCCCGACAGAGCCAUGCUGAUUCUAAAGACUGAUUCUGGGACUAGAGAAGAAACUGCCCGAUUCUGCCUUUCCUCCCUCCCCAUCCCCCCCUUGUCAGAGUUGAAUAAAUAAAGAAGACCUUAUAUCUACCUUCGCAUCACUGACCUCUAUCCAGAGCCCACUGGGACCCAAACCAUGUCCCUCCAUGACUCUCUGCUUUUCCUCCCAUAUGUAGAAGGAACACAAGUUAUUGUUCAGCCAACAGACUUUAGUUUAGAUUGGUUGCUACGAUCCUGGAUUUGAGAAAGGAGGGCUGGCGGGGGGGAGGUGUACAGAAAGAGUUUAGAACAGUAGCAGGCGGGGACAAAUGGAGCGCAAGAGAGAAACAGAAACCAAGAGAAGGUGAGCACCUCGGGUACGGAGAAAUGCAGACCGAUACAGGAGAAAAAGACUGAAGGAGGGGCAGGAAGAAAUAUUUGCCGAGAAACUGAUGAAGUGCAACUGAGAAAACUGUUGCCAUGGUGAUGGGUCCAGAGGAGGGAGUAGGAAUAUAAAUCGGAUUAUGAGUUGGAGUGGGGAGGGGGGCUGCUCAAGACUCAGAGGCAGAGCACCCCCCUCAAGCCCUCCCCCUCAGACCUCUUUCUACCCACAAGGAUGCUGUUCCCAGACGUCUCCCCAGGGCCAGGCCAAGGAGUGCAGUGAGGACAGGAGCACUGGAGGGCCUGGGGCUCUGGCACUUCCUCUCUGCCCCCCACUCCUGGUGAAACAGAUCUGUACCCCUACCCCCUGGCUCUAGGGGAGCUCUCUCCAUCAACCCUAGUGGCUCUCAUUCUACCUCUUCCUCAGAAUCCAAAGUGAAGCGAAGGGAGGGAGCUUGUUUGAAGUACCUACUGACUGUGCUGGGUACGUAGAGCCUUGUUUCCUUUAGUCCUCAGCACAGCCCUCAGAGGUAGGUUUCUCACCUCCAUUUAUAAGCAGGAAACUGAGAUCAAGGCCCCAAGCUGGGAAGCAGCAGCCAGCCUGGGGUGCAGCCUGGCCCAUCAGCAUCAAAGCUAUUUUCUCUCCUCCUAGCCCUCUGCCUCCUUGCAGAGCCUGUGUCCCAUUCCUCGUCUUUUCCUGCACCUUCGGGACAGGAUGCGGCAGGAUGGGAGCUACAGGGUGGUGGACAAGUUGAAGGCUCUCACUCCAUUCUCAGAGACAGAGAGAGCUGGGGAGACUUGAGGCAAAAUGCCAUAGCAGCCAGACUCGGAGUUCAGUAGGAGGCUCGGGGGUGCUCUGAGCUCAAGGCUUGGGGAGAGGGGAGGAAGGGCUGAGGUGGAGAGGACCGUGGGAGGUGGGGAAGCUCAGAGGCCAGGCCGUUUCCGGUGAUGCUGCAGAGAAACUCCACCACGGCCACAUGGGGAGCUGGGGCACUGUCAGCUCUCAGUUUCAGGUCUCUGAGCUAGUGAGCCAGAGUGACUGGGGGUUGGUAUUUGAGGGCAGGUCCCUGCAAGUGAAGUGGCUGGAGGGGGGGAGGGAGGAGGGUGCGGCUUCCCCUCCCCCUCCCUCAGGCUUCUGUAUAAAUAACAGCUUUGCAAAGGGCAUCAUACAAACAGGGCAUAUCAAACAGGGCCGGGGGAGGUGGGAGAAGGCAGAGGUCGGGGGUGUGGCCUGGGCAGCUAUGCUAAGACUACCCCUCCCUGUCAGGAUUCAAGAAUCAAGAAGAUUCUGGCCCCUUCCCAUCAUACCUUACUGUUGCUCCUAGUGGCUACCUGGCUACCUUGAAACAGCUCCACAUUCUCUCUGGGGACUGGCUUGAACCACGCCCCAACCCAGGAAGUCUGUGUGUGUGUGUGUGUGUAUGUGAGAGAGAGAGAGCGAGUGAGCCGAGAGAAAGAAAAGGCUGGACCCCAAGAGGAACUAAAGGUCCCUUGCCACCAGGUUGUCACCAGGUCCCUGGAGAGCCCGGGUCCCUGCCCCACACCCCUGUGGAACAGGAGGGGGGCCAGAGCUCCUUCCUCCUCAGGCCUGAAGGGAAGGCCAAUCCAGAGCAGCUCACUUUUUCUUUUGCUUCAGUUCACACCGUCUCCUCCACAUGCUGCCAAUACCACAGACCCUCCUUCCCUGUUCCCGUAGUAAGCUUCAGACCCCAAGGGGUCUAAGGAACUGUUGGAGGGGGGCACGGUGAGAAGAAAAGCCUCUUGGAUACCCUCCUCCUUCACACCUGCCCUCGCCAGGCUGUCUGGUCUCCUAGCGCUUCACUGAAUUCUUGGCCCAUCUCCACCCAGGACUUCAGGCCUUCAACCCCCCCAGCUCAGCCCAGUCCCUCUCAUUCACGUGUCCCCUGAUUUGAAGCCGUCUCCAGGACUCCUACUCGCCACAUCCCAGGAGCACAUGUCACGGCUCUUUAAUCCCCACAGACCAGUUUGCUGGGGAAGACACCUUCUGGAAAUAUCGGAAGGGUACCAGGGAUAUCACACCCUCCCGGUUCCUCUUUUUUCUUUUAGGGAAGCUUCCAGGUCUCCUUGGCAGGUUCCCCUU